CCUACGGGGCGCUGCAGUCGAGAAUCAUUCACAAUGGGGGAAACCCUGAUGGUGCGACGCCGCGUGGGGGAAUGAAGGUCUUCGGAUUGUAAACCCCUGUCAUGUGGGAGCAAAUUAAAAAGAUAGUACCACAAGAGGAAGAGACGGCUAACUCUGUGCCAGCAGCCGCGGUAAUACAGAGGUCUCAAGCGUUGUUCGGAAUCACUGGGCGUAAAGCGUGCGUAGGCUGUUUCGUAAGUCGUGUGUGAAAGGCGCGGGCUCAACCCGCGGACGGCACAUGAUACUGCGAGACUAGAGUAAGGGAGGGGGAACCGGAAUUCUCGGUGUAGCAGUGAAAUGCGUAGAUAUCGAGAGGAACACUCGUGGCGAAGGCGGGUUCCUGGACAUUAACUGACGCUGAGGCACGAAGGCCAGGGGAGCGAAAGGGAUUAGAUACCCCAGUAGUC
rnacentral:rRNA from 1 species